GACCUCGGAUCAGGUAGGAAUACCCGCUGAACUUAAGCAUAUCAAUAAGCGGAGGAAAAGAAACCAACAGGGAUUGCCCUAGUAACGGCNGAGUGAAGNNGCAMCANCUCAAAUUUGAAAUCUGGCCUCGGCCGAGUUGUAAUUUGCAGAGGAUGCUUCUGGCGCGGUGCCUUCCGAGUUCCCUGGAACGGGACGCCACAGAGGGUGAGAGCCCCGUAUGGUCGGACACCAAGCCUUGUGUGACG
rnacentral:rRNA from 1 species